GUCAAUUCUCUAGUAAGCCAUUCAGAGAAGAAAAUGUACUAACUGUCCAAACCCAGACUCUACCUGUAGGGACAUCUGGAUGUGGUUUCUUUUGUUGAGGACGGCAGGUUACCAUCGACAAGUGUGUGCCCUCUCGAAGGUCUACCUUAGAAGGUAAAGUGAUUCUGAAGUUCUGCUUCUGGAGAAUAAAUGACUGCCACAUCUUCCUUCGAGGUAGGAUGAAGCUGAGAAGGUA
rnacentral:lncRNA from 1 species